UACGGAGGAUGCGAGCGUUAUCCGGAUUUAUUGGGUUUAAAGGGUGCGUAGGCGGGAUGCCAAGUCAGCGGUAAAAAUGCGGUGCUCAACGCCGUCGAGCCGUUGAAACUGGCGUUCUUGAGUGGGCGAGAAGUAUGCGGAAUGCGUGGUGUAGCGGUGAAAUGCAUAGAUAUCACGCAGAACUCCGAUUGCGAAGGCAGCGUACCGGCAUCCAACUGACGCUGAGGCACGAAAGCGUGGGGAGCAAACAGG
rnacentral:rRNA from 1 species